GAGAGAAAAGAAUAAUCCACCCAUUUCUUGGCCAAUGCCCCUUCGUGGGUAGGAGCCACACACGUGUAGGCAACAGCAACAACCGGAAGACACGAACGAACGGGAAGUGGCAGGCCACUCCCGCAUAGAGGGUUUGUGCCAGUGUUAGGGAGACAAGACAACACAAGCGCUGAGCACGAAGGCCAAUCGAACGAGCCGAAGAAGAUCGAGCAACGAGUGCCGAGAGGGCUACCCGGGUUGUGCCGCUGGGCAGCCUCAUGGCGGGCCAUCGAGCCAAGGUCCUGAUGUGGCCGGUGCCUGGCCGGUUCCGGUGCUUUCGGGAGUUUUGGUGACACUACCAGGAAUCCUGAGCUACUACCCCAGUGGCGUGUUGCCUUGUCACCACCACCGCUACCCAACCCAAGACCUAUUCGCCACCUACGGCGGGCCAACGAAGAUUAUAACCACACAGAGAAAGCUGCGUCGCAGGAGCUCUAGGAAGCGCAACUGCUUAUUUAGGACCUCAAAGUCCUCACAAAAGAGUUCCCGAAGUUUGGGGUGCUCCCCCUUACCACCGUGCUUUACGCGUACUCGGAAGCCAACCGGUACUUCGAGCGCCACUUCCUCAACUUCGGAAGUCCCUGCAGCGCGUGCCAUCGCUUCUCAUCGCAGGCGCUGCAACCAGAGGCGCAGCGUCUCAACGACAGCGUCUCAAAUCGCUGGCUGCCACGCGGGAAGAAUGCGACCAUGCUACCCUUUCCACCGUGUCAUUAUGCGGUACAGAACGGUACUGCAGUGCCAGUGGUACGAUCAUACUGUGCCACAGCGUGGUUCCAGGAGCUCGCGCCGGCUUUAUCUUGAAAGCGGUCUUCUUUACGGUCACAGUCUAGGUGGGCCGACGGCUCGUAGCUUUACGCGCGCCAUGUUCUCAGCGCUCAGUUCGCGUUGAAGCGAUAGGCAGCACGAAGGUCACUUCGCUCUCUGCUGCUGACGGCAUUCCUCACGCCAGCGCUUUGACAGCGACUGUCGGCGGUCAUCGAGUGUGAGGUAUGCAUGUCUGCCUGUGCGCGCUGACGCUAUGCUAGGUAAUUUAGAAAUAUAAGCGAAUGUUUACAACGGCGCGUUCUACACUGGCCGCUGCUGCGUAUGGCGCGGCCGCGCGAGACCUGUCUUGAAUAAGGUCUGUGAUGCGGACAGUGUGGGCGUCUAGGCGCACCGAGAGUCGAUAGCGUCGUGUGCGCUAUAGCACUCAUACGCUUGCGCAUCACCCGCCUUCACGAAGUGAAGCGUCACUAUAGCUUUCUUCUCUCAGCGUUGCUCUUCGCAGAAACACAUCAUUAAUGUAAAGGCCCCAUGCAUCCAACUUCAAGGUUAAGAGCAAUG